rnacentral:lncRNA from 1 species
AAAAAGUUGUUGCAUAGAUAAGCCCUAGAUACUGGCAAUGGAGACAAACAUGGGAGAUGCUCUAUUCCCUGAGCAGUCACGCUCCAGCCAAGGUGACAGGAAACUCAGAAGAGGACAGCAGCUCGUGGACAACCACCUUGAGAGUGUCACCAUUGCUGUUUUACAGUGUCACACACAGCAGUCUCACACGACCAGAGAAAGCUUUCCAGUGUGUAAGUGAUUGUCCUGGGAGAAAGCAGAAGUUGAAAGAAACACACCUUUUAUAAAUUGCUCCAGCCAAAAUAACAGCGUCAGUUAACAUAUCAAAUGGCAUUUCUGAAAUGUCAAAAAGAAGGGAAAAUGUCUCGGGCACAUGUAAUUGAGAAGUAACGCCACACAGCAGAGGCCCUCAGAGGAAACCGUUGACACAGAAACAACUGAAGCCAUCCCCGAGACGGCAGGGGUGGAUGCCCCGGAGGGAACCUGGCACAUCAGAUCUGCUCCCACGCAGGGAGUGGUGGAGGGCAGGCUGCUGGAGGGCUGGAAAUCAGAGCCCUCCACUCUGGGAAAGCAGCUCUCCUUCUCCUUAGGGCCCUGACAGGCCACUGAGGCACAGAAGGUGACAGGCAAUUGAGAGCAAAUUAACUGCAGCCACCUUUUGCUUGGAAA